GACGAACGCUGGCGGCGUGCCUAAUACAUGCAAGUAGGACGCAGUUGCGAACGGGUGAGUAACGCGUAGGUAACUACCUAUUAGAGGGGGAUAACUAGUGGAAACGAUAGCUAAUACCGCAUACUCGUAGAUGGACCUGCGUUGUAUUAGCUAUUAGGUCGGGUAAUGGCCUACCUAGGCAACGAUACAUAGCCGACCUGGUGGGGUGAUCGGCCAACCUGGGAAUGGGACACGGCCCCGAACCCUACGGGAGGCAGCAGUAGGGAAUCUUCGGCAAUGGGGGGAACCCUGACCGAGCAACGCCGCGUGAGUGAAGAAGGUUUUCGGGUCGUAAAGCUCUGUUGUUAAGGAAGCGGUACUUAACCAGAAAGGGACGGCUAACUACGUGCCAGCAGCCGCGGUAAUUC
rnacentral:rRNA from 1 species